rnacentral:rRNA from 1 species
UACGGGGGGGCAAGGCGUUGUUCGGAAUUACUGGGCGUAAAGGGCUCGUAGGUGGCCAACUAAGUCAGACGUGAAAUCCCCUCGGCUUAACCGGGGAACUGCGUCUGAUACUGGAUGGCUUGAGUUCGGGAGAGGGAUGCGGAAUUCCAGGUGUAGCGGUGAAAUGCGUAGAUAUCUGGAGGAACACCGGUGGCGAAGGCGGCAUCCUGGACCGACACUGACGCUGAGGAGCGAAAGCGUGGGGAGCGAACAG